UUUUUUUUUCUCAAAUCUUCAUUUUUCAGCCCCAAAAAAGGCCAAAUAAAAAACCAUCAUAACCGUCGAAUUGAAAAUAAAAUAAAAAUCCCGAGCGCAAAAAAAAAAAAACCUGACGAAAAAGAAAAAACCCGAGCGCAAAAAAAUAAUCCAUCUUCACCCAUGGAGGGCUCCGCGCAAACUGAGCUCUGCAGGGCGGGGGAAGGCUUAUAAAACCUUGCCCCGCCCUGCAAUUAGGGUACGAACACU